GCUAGCGGUGCGCCUAACACAUGCAAGUCGAGCGGUAGUAAAUUUUAGCUUGCUGAGAAUUUAUGAGAGCGGCGAACGGGUGAGUAACACGUUGGUAUCUGCCCCCAAGUCAGGGAUAGCCAUUGGAAACGAUGAUUAAUACCGGAUAGUCUCUUCGGAGUAAAGAUUUAUUGCUUGGGGAGGAACCUGCGUUCUAUCAGCUAGUUGGUGAGGUAAAAGCUCACCAAGGCUAUGACGGAUACCUGGUCUGAGAGGAUGAUCAGGCACAAUGGAACUGAGACACGGUCCAUACUCCUACGGGAGGCAGCAGUGAGGAAUCUUCCACAAUGGACGAAAGUCUGAUGGAGCGACACCGCGUGAAGGAUGAAGGCCUAACGGUUGUAAACUUCUUUUCUGAGGGAGCAUAAUGAGAGUACCCCAGGAAUAAGGGACGGCUAAAUACGUGCCAGCAGCCGCGGUAAUACGUAUGUCUCGAGCGUUACCCGGAAUCACUGGGUGUAAAGGGUUCGUAGGCGGUUUAAUAAGUUGGACAUGAAAGACCGGAGCUCAACUCCGUGUUUGUAUUCAAAACUGUUAAACUAGAAUUAGGGAGAGGUAAGCGGAAUUCUAAGUGUAGGGGUGCAAUCCGUAGAUACUUAGAGGAACACCAAAAGCGAAGGCAGCUUACUGGAACUAUAUUGACGCUGAGGAACGAAAGCGUGGGUAGCGAAAAGGAUUAGAUACCCUUGUAGUCCACGCCCUAAACGAUGAUAACUAAGUGUUGCACUUUGGUGCAGUGCUGUAGCUAACGCGUUAAGUUAUCCACCUGAAGGAGUACGGUCGCAAGAUUAAAACUCAAAGGAAUAGACGGGGACCCACACAAGCAGUGGAUCACGUGGUUUAAUUCGACAAUAAACGGGGAACC
rnacentral:rRNA from 1 species